CCGUUGGUGAACCGGCGGAGGGAUCAUUACCGAGUUUACAACUCCCAAACCCAAUGUGAACUAUACCUGUCUACCGUUGCUUCGGCGGGUUCGCCCGCAGAGGGACCGACAAAUAAACUCUUGUAUUUCUAUCUUUAGCAUGUCUGAGUGGAAUCAUAAACAAAUGAAUCAAAACUUUCAACAACGGAUCUCUUGGUUCUG
rnacentral:misc_RNA from 1 species